CUGACGUCCACGGCGUGAUAGCGUCAUGACUGUUAUUUACAUACGCUGCAACCCAGGGGGCGCUGUUUCACCUAUAUGAGCCAAACACAAUGGAAAAGUGGAGACAUGACCUUAACAACACUGCACAGAUGUAACUGGACAGCAGAGUCCUGACCUGAGGAGUAAGGACACUCCCACACCGAGUUUAAAAGCCUGCAACUCCUCUCCAGUCAAAUAGAACUGCAGAAGCCACUUGGAUAAGGAAGACUGGAGGGCCAUCGAUGAUCUGCUCCUGGAUAGAUUGAAUUUCCCCAUCCUGUCAUCUUGAUUGAUGGGUACCACAUCGUCGUCAGGGCGCCGACCAUGAUCAAGGUUAAGGUACAAUGACAAAGUCUGAGGACAGCCCAGGAGCCUCUUGGGUUUGGAGCAGGACCUGACAGGUGGCAACCUGUCUGAUGCCUCCGGGCAGGUGCUUGAGGGGAGAGAAAAGCUGAUCAGGUGGCUCCCAUCAGCAGCCGGAGCAGUCCCCCAUCAGCACAGAGCAGAACGAGACUCCCGUUUCACCCCAGUGUUUCAUCGUACAAGAUCAAUUUUCAGAUUCUUUCAUAUCACUUUGACUCUAUUUGGGGUUUUUUUGUUUGUUUUUUUUACAGACCCAGAUAAACUACUCAGGCACGGGGUAAGAUGAUUAAUGAACCUCUUAUCUCUGUCUCUCUCAUCCCUGUUCAGUCAGAGCUCUCGACUCUUCUUGCUCUAGAUGGAGUGCACACACAGCACCAGAACUGAGAAUAAAGAGCCAAACAUGUUUUUAUGAGAUAACAG